CCUCGGGAUUGUUACAUGGGCAGUGUUCUUAAUAGCAAGAGAAUCUGAGUAAAUGGGUUUUAUUCUGAGCAGAGAAGGCAACAAGCCAUGGAGAAUAACUUGUUCUAAGCAGAGGAAUAUUGUGGAGUGUAAACAGUCUGCCUUUGCCUCAGCUGGGCUCUCCUUAGAGCUGUACCCUGAUGAGCAUGACCAGCAGGAAGCUCUUUGUGUGUGGCUCUGGGGAUCUUUUCCUGCUUGUUUAACCAAACUGGGAGGAUUCUUCAGGUGCUGUUCACGUCUGCCCUGUCUGAGCCCAGCCUGCCACAGCCCUGCCUGGACAUGAGUCUGAGCAGCUCACACUUCACCAUGCUCCAUGUCCAUCCUCUCCUGCACCCAUGGAAGCACCCAUGAAGAACUUGUCAGUGAC
rnacentral:lncRNA from 1 species